AUACUCUUGUUUCUCUUCAAAAUGAAUAAAUCUUUCACCUUUUACUAAAGAUUUCUUUCCAUGGAGAGGGACAGUUAUGAGUUGGUAACCAAAUUUUUUGAGGUCUUGCUUAGGCAAGGCU
rnacentral:snRNA from 1 species